rnacentral:rRNA from 1 species
AUGAAUAGUAAUAGAGCCCUUGGACCUGAUAACAUACCUGCUGAAUUUUAUCAGCAUUGCUGGAAGAUAGUCAAAAAAGAUAUAAUGGGAUUAUUUCUGGCCUUUUAUCACGGGAGGUUGGAUGUGUAUAGGUUGAACUAUGGCAUUACCACCCUGCUUCCUAAGAUCAAUGGAGCUAAUAAGAUACAACCAUUCAGGCCAAUUUGCCUACUUAGGAGUCCUUACAAAUUGAUCACCAAAGUGCUUGACAGUAGAGCAUCCCCUUUUGCUGAUGCGCUGUUUAGUAAACAUCAGAAU